GGGCCACCAGGUCUGCAAGGUUUCGAAGGAGAGAAAGUAAGUUAAUUAUUUUUUAAAGCUGUGCAUAUAAUAAUAUGUUCACAGUAUAGGGGAUUUUUCUUAGCAUUAAAUAUAAUUUUUAUGUGCGUAGGGUGAUCAGGGUUUACAGGGAGACCCAGGUGUGGAUGGGGCAGCUGGACCCACAGGACCUCAAGGAGAACCAGGCAGGAAUGGCCUUAAUGGAAUAAAAGGAGAAAAGGGAGACGCGUGUGACAGCUGUCCAUCACUCCCUGAAGGAAAUUACAAUGUUGCUGGCUUACCAGGGCCCAAGGGAGAGAGAGGAGAGCCAGGUUUGCCAGGGGAGGGCAGAGCAGGCAAACAGGGUCGGCCAGGCCCACCUGGUGUCCAGGGACCUCCAGGGCUCAAAGGCAGUCAGGGUGAUGCUGGGCUUCCAGGUAUUGGCCUUCCAGGACUGCAGGGUGAGCAGGGACCUAGAGGUUUUCCCGGAGCUGCUGGUCCAGAAGGACGUCUGGGACCUGCAGGGCCGAUUGGACCAGCAGGACAAAGGGGUCCAAAGGGAGAAAUGGGACCACCAGGGCCACAGGGGCCAAUGGAAAUGGGACCAAUCGGACCCCCGGGUAGGGAUGGAACACAAGGAUUUCCUGGAAUACCAGGGCAGGAUGGGAGUCCUGUAAGUUUGUUUGUUUGUUUAAUCCUCUCCAGCAAUUCUUUGCUUAACUCCUCUUGCUUAUUCCCAUAUUGUGACACACGCUCUGUGAUUAACACAUUCACCAAGCAUAUUGUCCGUUGUUCAUUACUCUGCCAUCUAGAGACGGCAUCAAACGAACUUCCAUAA
rnacentral:lncRNA from 1 species